rnacentral:rRNA from 1 species
AUACGGAGGGGGCUAGCGUUGUUCGGAAUUACUGGGCGUAAAGCGCGCGUAGGCGGGCUGGUCAGUCAGGGGUGAAAUCCCGGGGCUCAACCCCGGAACUGCCUUUGAUACUGCCAGUCUAGAGGUCGAGAGAGGUGAGUGGAAUUCCGAGUGUAGAGGUGAAAUUCGUAGAUAUUAGGAGGAACACCAGUGGCGAAGGCGGCUCACUGGCUCGAUUCUGACGCUGAGGUGCGAAAGCGUGGGGAGCAAACAGGAUUAGAUACCCCUGUAGUCC